GAUGAACGCUGGCGGCGUGCUUAACACAUGCAAGUCGAACGGAAAGGCUCCUGCUUGCAGGGGUACUCGAGUGGCGAACGGGUGAGUAACACGUGGGUGAUCUGCCCUGCACUUCGGGAUAAGCCUGGGAAACUGGGUCUAAUACCGGAUAGGACCACAUUAUGGAUGGUGUGGUGGAAAGUUUUGCGGUGUGGGUUGAGCUCGCGGCCUAUCAGCUGGUUGGUGGGGUAAUGGCUUACCAAGGCGUCGACGGGUAGUCGGCCUGGGAGGGUGUACGGCCACAUUGGGACUGAGAGACGGCGCAGACUCCUACGGGAGGCAGAGGUGGGGAGUAUUGCACAGUGGGCGCAAGCCUGAUGCAGCGACGCCGCGUGGGGGAUGACGGCCUUCGGGUUGUAAACUCCUUUCGCUAGAGACGAAGCGGGAGUGACGGUACCUGGAGAAGAAGCACCGGCUAACUACGUG
rnacentral:rRNA from 1 species